GGUUCCGUAGUGUAGUGGUUAUCACGUCUGCUUCACACGCAGAAGGUCCUGGGUUCGAGCCCCAGCGGAACCA
rnacentral:tRNA from 1 species